rnacentral:misc_RNA from 1 species
UCCCGAACGCGGUGGCGAGCGAAGACCCCGUGGUGGCCAACACCGCGCCGAUCAACGCAGUUGUCACAAGGCCGCCGGUGCGUGCCACCGCGCUGUUCAGCCCGGAGGCCGCGCCGACGUGGUGUUCAUCCACCGACAUCAGGACGGCGGUGGUCAACGGCGCCACGGCACCCGCCAUGCCGAGCGCGACGAUGACUAUCGCAGGCAACACAUCGCGCCAGUA